rnacentral:lncRNA from 1 species
GUCACCAUAUGGCACAAAUGUCACAUUUUUAAGGCAAAAUGGAAUAUAGAUUAUUGUGAUAUUAAAUAAGAUGGCAAAGCAUUAUUUUUAUUAUGCAAUGACACUGUAUCUAUGCUAAAACAAUAUGAUAUAUGUCAACCUAAACUAAGCAGUCUUGAAAAUAUUCCUAAUAUUAGAGGAAAACAAUUCAGAAAAAUCAGAAAAUUUCAAAUGAAAUAACUCAUCAACACAACAAUAAAAAAUCAAAAUGAAACUGCAAAGUAAGUUUCCAAUGGUCCAUUUGUAAGUCAAAUAAAGAAAGUUGCUUACUUACUGGUGGUGAGUUCAUUAAAUUGUGUUUGAUUGUAGUUAUUGAUGUAACGUGUCCAGAGAAAAUAAACUUAUUUUAGAUUAAUUAGACUUUCAGUGAGAACAAUUCUCAAAAACCUGAGGACACUAGAAGGACUAUCAAUAGACAAUUGAAAAAAUAAGAAAAGUGAUUUUCCUAGAUUAUCAAUGAGUUCACAGAUGUUAUCAAUACCACUUAGUUUCCUUUUUCUUUUUGUAGUACUAGGGAUUUAACCACACAGGAGC